CAAAUGUUGCCAUAAAUUACACCAUGCUUGUAAUGCAGUUAUUGUAGAGUGAUUGACCUCCUUGAAAUUAAUUCUAUUUUCCAUGAACCCUCCUUUAUUUCUAAUUUACAUUACGAUCAUAUAUGUCUGAAAAAUGAUAUAAUAAAAAAGAUUAAUGUACUAAUUACUUGUCUCCUUAUCUUCUCCCCUGAUGCCUACACCUUUGGACCAACUCCACUCGGCAUACAAGGAAGUUAAAAUAACCUCAUAGAAUCAAAAAUAAAGCAUAAAAGCACGAAGGCAUCCUGUAUUCUAUGGUAAAAUAGCACUUGAGCUCAUUUCAGGGAUCCGAAUGCAGCCACAGAGCUGAGCUCCAGCACUUCACCAUUGCACACUAAAGCAGCAGUAAAGGGCAAAAAUCUAAAUGCAUAGUACCGUAAUGCAAAGAAAUGCCCCAACAACAUGUGGCUGCUGACAACUGCAAUCCAUACCUAUGGAUAAUCUCCCCUGGCCAAAUGACUCAACUAAAAUCAGACUUAACUGCAACUCUUCUCCUCCGGCGAGAGAUAUAGAGUAUGUUUGGUUCUGACUUCUCCCUCAUGUCACUGCAGUCCAGACUCAUCCUGCUACUGAAGGAGGAGAUAUUUGUGUAAUCCAGCCGAGUUUUCUAGCACAGAAUUCAGCAGUUGUUAAUCUGGCGCAUGGCAAGCUGCACAUCUCCUAACCUCUGAGCUCAGCAAGCGAUCUUAUCAAAAGGACAAAGUGAGAGAAGUACACUUUUGUUUUACAAUUAUUUCCUUUUCAAGACCCAAUUCUUUCCACUCCCUUCCGUGGGAAGACACGUGUGUCAGAUUGCCACCACCGCUGCCAUUCACUGACAUGCUGACCCCGCGGCAGGCGCUGCCCUCAGAGCCCUGUGCCAUAGGCAGGAUCGGGCCCUGCACACGCGGCUGGGAGGGGAGCUGUAAAAAAUGCAUGGGCCCUUCUGCUGCGAAUGAGGCUGCUCAGCUGAAAGGAACUGGGAGGUGAAAAAUGGAAUUUGGCAGUUCUGUGCCGCUCCACCAUUUGGUGCUUGUUGUGGGACUCCAGCAAAAGGGAGCUAUCACUGCGGGCAUAAUUUACUUGAUUUUAAGGAUCUGUAUGAAUUCUGGCACCAGACCAAGUAGCCAUUAGCUAUGAGGAGUGCUUCCCGAUGCUCAUUUGUUUUCCAUGUGUGAAUUUUCACUCAUCCGAACUUUCUUUAGAAAAAAUUUUUCUUCAUCAAUUCCAUGUGGAAAAUGCAACAGAAACCCAGAUAAUAAAUUAUUCAAGAAACACAACAGUUUUUGUUUUUUUAAAUGGAAAACUACUAGUUCUGGAAUCAGACUGUCUGCCUGCUUUGAUUUCUGAUAUCUUAAAGCUAAGUGUUAUAAAAUGAUACGGUUGUUCACAUGCUCCAGGAUAGGCUUUUGGGCAAAUUACCCUAAAUAAGGUAACUCAAUAGCCAGGUAGGCAGGCUUUAAUGCUAUUACUAUUAGGAAAAUACCAUUAAUAUGAGACAUAUGCGGGCCACUAUUACAUCAGCAGGGCCUCACUCACGCAGUAUGUGGGAGCAGUGCUGUGGAUCGUAGCAGCGGUGCUGGGCCUUCACACACGUAACGUGCCUUAGUCUUGAGGUCAAAAUCUGUUAAUGCAAUUUUGAGUAUAAGAACAAGAAUUUAAAAUCCAUGUGGUUUUAAUGCCAUGUUCUGAGAUGGGGGGGCAGGGGAUGAUUUGUUGCAUUUCUUUAUUUGGGCUGCUCGCACUGAACGUGAACUCCUUUGAAAUGUGUGUGUGUCACAUCAAGACUAACUUGUGAGAUGUGAUGAACAAAAACAAAAUCUCAUUCCAUUUCUUUGCUCAAAAAGUUUGAUUUUGGUUGUGUUUCAAAUUAUAAGGACCAUUAUUGGUAAUCUGCAUUUACUUCUCAUUGAAGCAUUACAUAAUAAACCAAAACCGUGUGUCAGAUGUACCGCUCCCAAAUAAGUGCACUGAGAUAAAGUGAGACCUCUAAGAGGAUGCCUGCCUUUACAACGAGAGUAUUCCCAUUUCAAACAAUUAAUAUAUUUGGGUUUCUUCAUUUCUGCGGUCUCGUAGCACAACUUAUAGCUAAAGCGCUGUGUUGAACAUGCAUAUUUUGGACCGAGCUCUUCUCUGUGUCUAUUUAACAGCUACUCACAGCUGUCUCUGCUUUAAACGUAUUGGGAUAAAAUUUCAUCACAAAGCCUCAUUGCUACAAAAAGAAAGGGAAAAUGGAUGCAGGCGGGCACAGGGUGAGCAUGCAUGGCCAGCACCCCUUGCAGCAAGACCACAGUGGCAGUGGGGGAUGAGUGGGGAGGGGGCAGGGGUGUACCCAACCUGGGCACUGCAGGUAUGGUGGGCUGUGCAUCCCGAGCUGCUGCCAGUUUGGCUGUGCAAAGCACACCUGCUGCCCUCAGAUCUUAGCAUGGAGGACACAAAGCUCCCAUUCAUUUCUCUGAGUGCUAAGACACAGGGAAGCGGUUCAGCGGUGCAGUAAGCACAGAGCAAGCAGCAGUGACAGUGACAGGAAGGUACUGUCCCUCUGGGUGCUGGCCGCCACCUGACUGCCAUCCAGGAGCAGCUCUGCUGGUGCCUGCAGGAGACUGGUUUUAAUGUGGUAUAUCUGCUUAACAGCUUUGCUGAUCAUGUUGCUGCUGCAUGUGCACAUUUUAAAUGUACUUUUAAAUUUACUUUGAGGGCUUCCUUUGACCUCCUGUAGCAGAUGUGGGAACCCUCCAGCCCUGAGCUGCAAACAAGUGUCCAGUGCAGCUCCUGCUGCCUAUGUCCCCCUGCUCCCAUACACAGCUCUGUGCUGCAGGCAGGGCUCCCACAAGCUGUCUGCACAUUGCUAUGUAAACCAGUGUCACCUGCUAUGCCCCCUCAAGGCCAUGAGCCAUGGCAGUGCCACAGCCCUGGGCACUGCUCCUUGUAGCGAGCCCCUCACUCCAGCAAUACUCUGUGAUCUAACAUAUGGAUGCAUUGAUAUGUUUCUCUUUAUGUAGAGACAUGUAAUGUGAUGCACACACACACACACACAUUUUUUUCUUUAUCCAUAUCUCUAUAUAUAGAGAUAUAUACACAAAGAGCACAAUAACACUAUUAGAGCAAAUUACCAGCAACAAAUGCUGUUCUCCAACACGGUCACCACCAUUAGCUCUGCAUUUUCACCAGCAAUGAAAAAGAGCACACAUGCCACACUUGUACAAAUAUGAACCAACAGAGGUGACCACUGUCACUGUCACCACUGCUGAAAUGCACUGCCCACCACUGCACUCACAUCCACUGGCUGGUCUCCAUAAACAUUCAGCAAGAGUCAACGAAUGUCAGUGAUGCCAUAUUUUUUUUAACUCACCUGUUCCUGGAGAUUCUUCUCCCUUGAGCUCUGCACCUGAUGGAGGUGUUAACAUGGUCAGGUACCGCUUUCGCUGCACCCAUGAUCAGCCUUGCUGAGUGCACCUUUGGUGAUUUUAACACAAACAUCUCACUGCAGUCACUGUGGCUGCAGAAUCCUUUUUCUAAAAUUUUAAUCAUGACCCCAGCAAUUAUGAUAUGAACUUAAACUCAUAUAUGGACUUAUAGUCUGAGUGUGCCACCAGCAAGGCAGCCGUGCACAGGCCCUGCAGCAAGCAGCUCCACAUGCUGAUAUGGGCUGGUGUGGCGCCGGCUCUACUACCCACAGGCACAGCUUUACACAAAGAAAGGAGAACAUUUUUAAAAAACAACAUCUCCUUUUCACUUUCUCAGUGAACUCAUGUCUGUUUUAUGGAGCAGCAGGCCUGGAUUUGCAAGGCUUCAUUCUUCU
ensembl:lncRNA